rnacentral:rRNA from 1 species
UACGGAGGGGACUAGCGUUGUUCGGAAUUACUGGGCGUAAAGCGUGCGUAGGCGGAUUUGUAAGUCAGGGGUGAAAUCCCGGGGCUCAACCUCGGAACUGCCUUUGAUACUGCAAAUCUCGAGUCCGGAAGAGGUGAGUGGAAUUCCUAGUGUAGAGGUGAAAUUCGUAGAGAUUAGGAAGAACACCAGUGGCGAAGGCGGCUCACUGGUCCGGUACUGACGCUGAUGUGCGAAAGCGUGGGGAGCAAACAGG